UACAAAGGUCCCAAGCGUUGUUCGGAUUCACCGGGCGUAAAGGGUGCGUAGGUGGCGGGGUAAGUCUGAUGUGAAAUCUCCGAGCUUAACUCGGAAACUGCAUCGGAUACUGCCUUGCUCGAGGGUUGGAGGGGGGACUGGAAUACUUGGUGUAGCAGUGAAAUGCGUAGAUAUCAAGUGGAACACCAGUGGCGAAGGCGAGUCCCUGGACAACUCCUGACACUGAGGCACGAAAGCUAGGGGAGCAAACAGG
rnacentral:rRNA from 1 species